GACGUUAGCGGCGGACGGGUGAGUAACACGUGGAUAACCUACCUAUAAGACUGGGAUAACUUCGGGAAACCGGAGCUAAUACCGGAUAACAUAUUGAACCGCAUGGUUCAAUAGUGAAAGGCGGCUUUGCUGUCACUUAUAGAUGGAUCCGCGCCGUAUUAGCUAGUUGGUAAGGUAACGGCUUACCAAGGCAACGAUACGUAGCCGACCUGAGAGGGUGAUCGGCCACACUGGAACUGAGACACGGUCCAGACUCCUACGGGAGGCAGCAGUAGGGAAUCUUCCGCAAUGGGCGAAAGCCUGACGGAGCAACGCCGCGUGAGUGAUGAAGGUCUUCGGAUCGUAAAACUCUGUUAUCAGGGAAGAACAAAUGUGUAAGUAACUGUGCACAUCUUGACGGUACCUGAUCAGAAAGCCACGGCUAACUACGUGCCAGCAGCCGCGGUAAUACGUAGGUGGCAAGCGUUAUCCGGAAUUAUUGGGCGUAAAGCGCGCGUAGGCGGUUUUUUAAGUCUGAUGUGAAAGCCCACGGCUCAACCGUGGAGGGUCAUUGGAAACUGGAAAACUUGAGUGCAGAAGAGGAAAGUGGAAUUCCAUGUGUAGCGGUGAAAUGCGCAGAGAUAUGGAGGAACACCAGUGGCGAAGGCGACUUUCUGGUCUGUAACUGACGCUGAUGUGCGAAAGCGUGGGGAUCAAACAGGAUUAGAUACCCUGGUAGUCCACGCCGUAAACGAUGAGUGCUAAGUGUUAGGGGGUUUCCGCCCCUUAGUGCUGCAGCUAACGCAUUAAGCACUCCGCCUGGGGAGUACGACCGCAAGGUUGAAACUCAAAGGAAUUGACGGGGACCCGCACAAGCGGUGGAGCAUGUGGUUUAAUUCGAAGCAACGCGAAGAACCUUACCAAAUCUUGACAUCCUUUGACCGCUCUAGAGAUAGAGUCUUCCCCUUCGGGGGACAAAGUGACAGGUGGUGCAUGGUUGUCGUCAGCUCGUGUCGUGAGAUGUUGGGUUAAGUCCCGCAACGAGCGCAACCCUUAAGCUUAGUUGCCAUCAUUAAGUUGGGCACUCUAAGUUGACUGCCGGUGACAAACCGGAGGAAAGGGGGG
rnacentral:rRNA from 1 species